ACGUGACGAAACAAUCGACCCAAAUGAGCGAACCGCUCCCCUUUCUCUACUCACACGAGCGGCCCUUUUCCUGGUACACUCGCGCCCGCUAGGGUUCCUGCGCCGCCUCCACAAAGGAUCUCGUCGACUAGCCCACGGCUCUGCUCCUUGCUUCCCACAAGCGAUCCAUCAGCUUCUACGCAAGCCAAGCCGCCGCCUCUCUGCCGAGAAAAAGGGCUCCCAAUCUCCACCAGGGUCGAUCAACCGCGCGACAGAGCUCACACCCCUUCGCUGGUCCACUCUGGCGCGACCAUUGUUGGUGCGUCCCCCCGGUCCCCCCUUCCCGCCCACCGAUGUAGACGAAGGCGCAUGUGGGUGACGUGGCCCUCGACAGUCGCGGCUCCGUAUUAGUGUACCGCUACCAGGAGCAGCAGAAGCGCCACAUCGGCACCACCGCGCUCCUCGCCACCGGCGGCUUCACCGGCGUCGUGAGCAAGACCUACAUCGCGCCCCUCGUCCCUCACCAUCCUCUUCCAGGUAUGAGUUCAGAUGCUGCAAUCUUAGAAGGCAAUCUUGUGAAAAUGUGUAUCGAUUGCCUUAUUCCGCCAUCAGCUUGUAUUCAUAUGAGUGAUACAAAAAGCUUUCUGAAUGGUGACUGGCUUGGACGAUCCAAAUUAUGUCAGUGUCAGUACGUUUAGUUGGUGAUGGUUCAGCGGGAGUGACAGCUGCAUCUGUAAAUUACCUAACUUACCCAUUGGGUGUUGUUCGAACUCGCUUGGCAACACAGAUGAUGACAUAUGGACACCAUUUGAUGGCAGUUUGAUGUUUUUCAUGAAUGAAUUCCACUCGUUAUUCAAUACCACUAUGAGAAAAGUAGGGAAAUGUUGGCCCUCUGCAAAAUGUAUUGGUUUGUCUCGCGGUCUCACCCCCAAAAACAGAGGAGAGGAGCAGCGAGCUCCUCCCUCACACUCGUCGGCUCCAAGGAGCCCCGCCUCCAUGCAUGGAGGAGAGGAGCAUGGAUCUUCAUCAUCGCGUAAGGCAAACCAAGGCUGCGAUGUUUGAAUAUUAUACUCAGUCAGUUGCUCGACUACUUAUAGUCCUAUUACUGGAGACUUAAUACUCGGUCAGCUGUCGUGUACAUUGUUCUGACAUAAAUGACACCAUGUCUAUGCGCAAGUCAGAAGGAACUUACCAUCUAAAAAGAUGUCCAAUUAGUGGGGUACAUGCUUCAGUACUGCAAGUUGAAGUAUAGCAAGUAAGUAUACAUCAAAAGAAAGUAAUGCUUCAGUACUGACCAUCUAAAAAGAUGUCUAAUUAGUGUGCACUGAUGACCCACAAGUAUAUGGGAUCAAUUGUAGCCUUUUCGAUAAGUAAGAGUGCUGAACCCAACGAGGAGCAGAAGGAAAUGACA